AGUCAUGUGAGAUGAUUAAUUUUAUUUUGAUUCAGUGGCCUGGAUUUUACUUGAUAAGAAGUUCUUUCCAGAGCCAUCCUCACAUCCUUUCCCUACUUCAGUUUCUUUUCUCUGUAAAGACAGACAGCCUGCCAUCUAUUACAUCAAUGGCAUAUUAAGUCCAGAAUUUCUGUCUCGCUAGAACAUUCGCAUCCCUGAAACUUUAAACUUGGCAUUGCCUGUUCAGACACCUCUGUGUGUAGCUGCAUAGGCUGGGGAGUGAGACAGCUAUCAUCGGGGAGAAACAUCUUAGAAGUACCUAGAGAAACUGGAUAUAUUUAAAUUCAUCAGCUUGAACAGCAGGAACAUUUCAUCAGCUAUUUCAGCGUGAAAGUGCUGAAGGAGUUGGUGGAUCAUGAUUGUAAGGUGCCUGUGUUCAGUGAAAAAGAGUGACAGCUGGAGGAGGGAUCCGUAAUUGAGGAAAAAACUUCGUUAUUCACUUCAUUAAGACAUGUCAGAAGCAGAGCCUGAGUAACUGUGGGCUGGACAAGCUCUUCUUUCUCCUUGGGGGAGAGCAGGUCACUUUGGAAUAUAUGUCCAAACAUGUGCAAGCAAGUGAGUAAACAGGAGUAUAAAAGGAAGAUUUAACAAUGGCAAAUUAUGUUAGAUAAUCUGAUAGGUUUUUCGCCAAGAUUGGCUACCAAGAUGGAUAAAGCAGAGGGCUGAAAGCUCUAUACCUUGACCUCACCUGGUCUUCUGACACUAUGUCCUACAAUAUUCUCUUUUGUCCUAUGAGAAAAUAUGGCCUGAAAUAAUUGGGCUGUUGGAGUGAGUCCAAAGGAGUUUAAAAAAGUUAACCUUUCUUAA